rnacentral:rRNA from 1 species
AGGACGAACGCUGGCGGCGUGCUUAACACAUGCAAGUCGAGCGGAAAGGCCCUUCGGGGUACUCGAGCGGCGAACGGGUGAGUAACACGUGAGUAAUCUGCCCCUAGCUCUGGGAUAGCUCCGGGAAAACCGGGAUUAAUACCGGAUACGACCACCUUAGACAUCUUUUGUGGUGGAAAGAAUUUCGGCUAGGGAUGAGCUCGCGGCCUAUCAGCUUGUUGGUGGGGUAAUGGCCUACCAAGGCAACGACGGGUAGCUGGUCUGAGAGGACGAUCAGCCACACUGGGACUGAGACACGGCCCAGACUCCUACGGGAGGCAGCAGUAGGGAAUCUUGCGCAAUGGGCGAAAGCCUGACGCAGCGACGCCGCGUGCGGGAUGAAGGCCUUCGGGUCGUAAACCGCUUUCAGCAGGGACGAAUUGACGGUACCUGCAGAAGAAGGCCCGGCCAACUACGCGCCAGCAGCCGC